rnacentral:rRNA from 1 species
ACGGCUCAGUAACACGUGGAUAACCUGCCCUUGGGUCCGGCAUAACCCCGGGAAACUGGGGAUAAUUCCGGAUAACGCAUAUAUGCUGGAAUGCUUUAUGCGUAAAAUGGAUUCGUCUGCCCAAGGAUGGGUCUGCGGCCUAUCAGGUAGUAGUGGGUGUAAUGUACCUACUAGCCAACAACGGGUACGGGUUGUGAGAGCAAGAGCCCGGAGAUGGAUUCUGAGACAUGAAUCCAGGCCCUACGGGGCGCAGCAGGCGCGAAAACUUUACAAUGCGGGAAACCGUGAUAAGGGGACACCGAGUGCCAGCAUCAUAUGCUGGCUGUCCAGGUGUGUAAAAUACACCUGUCAGCAAGGGCCGGGCAAGACCGGUGCCAGCCGCCGCGGUAACACCGGCGGCCCGAGUGGUGAUCGUGAUUAUUGGGUCUAAAGGGUCCGUAGCCGGUUUGGUUAGUCCUCCGGGAAAUCUGACGGCUCAACCGUUAGGCUUUCGGGGGAUACUGCCAGGCUUGGAACCGGGAGAGGUAAGAGGUACUACAGGGGUAGGAGUGAAAUCUUGUAAUCCCUGUGAGACCACCUGUGGCGAAGGCGUCUUACCAGAACGGGUUCGACGGUGAGGGACGAAAGCUGGGGGCACGAACCGGAUUAGAUACCCGGGUAGUCCCAGCCGUAAACGAUGCUCGCUAGGUGUCAGGCAUGGCGCGACCGUGUCUGGUGCCGCAGGGAAGCCGUGAAGCGAGCCACCUGGGAAGUACGGCCGCAAGGCUGAAACUUAAAGGAAUUGGCGGGGGAGCAC